UGGCGUCUGGACGGCGUUUGGUUUUCAUUUUAUUUUUUUGAACUGAGGCCGUGGAGGAGGGAGUUGUGCGCUUUCCUGUCGAUUUCUGCCCACGCUCGCAGGAUUCCAUCUAGUGAGGGAGGGACUCGCAGCGCCACUCGCGGACCGAGAGCGCGAGCCCCGGGCUCUGGGGGAUGGUUCUGCGCGCCUGGCCGCUCCCGCCCGGGUCCCUCCGGCCCGAAGCCGGGGGCUGCAGAGGCUGAGCUGCGCCGCCGCUCGGGGAUCCGCCGCGGGGCCGCUCGGGGCGCGCGGGCAGCUCCGAGAGCCCGGGCCGAGGGCGGCGCGCGGCAGCCCGCGUGGGCAGAGGGCCGGGGCGGGCAGCCGAGGCACUUUGGCUUCAGAGGGGGUUCCGCGGAGGAAGCGGCGCCGGCGCCCCGGAACGAAGCCCCAGGAGCCAGGCGAGAGGACAGCACGCCCUUCUCGGCCCCAUUCCUCGCCGCCGCGCCGCAGGACCCUCCCAAAGUGCCUCCUCCACGGCUCCGGUCCCGGCCCCCCGCCGAAGAAGCCGCCGCCCCGAGAUUGGGGCUUUUCCACUGCAUGGGCUGGCAGUGGGGGCUCGGGCUCCUGUUGAGGGGACUACCGAGAGCCUGGUGAGGGGCUGCGGAGAGCCGGGUGAGCGCGCCCCCGGGGGGUUCAGCGCGGCGGCCCUUGCCGGGGCGAUGCCCGGGCGGCUGCGAGCCGCCGGCCGCAGGAGGCCCUAGGCGGGCAUGGGCCUGGCGUCCCCUCCCUAAAGACCCUCGAGCCUUGCCCCUCUGCUUGGACUCGCCAGACCGACGCGAUGGCCUCGGAAGUGGUAUGCGGGCUCAUCUUCAGGGUGCUGCUCCCCAUCUGCCUGGCAGUAGGAUUUUAGAAGAAAGAGGCAAAGGAUGAAAGUGUUAGGAAGAGGAGGAGGAAUAUCUUCACCCCAAGAACAAAGCAGGAGGCAUCACAUUCCCUGAUUUCAAAAUAUACUACAAAGCUAUAGUAAUCAGGACAGCAUGGAACUGGCUUAAAAACAGGCACACAGAUCAAUGGAACAGAACUGAGAGCCCAGAAAUAAACCCACACAUCUAUGGACAGCUAAUUUUCGACAAGGGAACCAAGAACAUACAAUGGAGAACGGAAAGUCUCUUCAAUAAAUGGUGCUGGGAAGACUGACAGCCACAUGCAAAAGAAAGAAAGUAGACCAUUUUCUUAACACCAUACACAAAAAUUAACUCAAAAUGAAUUAAAGAGUUGAAUGUAAGACCUGAAACCAUAAAACUUGUAGAAGAAAACAUAGGUAGUAUGCUCUUUGACAUUGGUCUUAGCAGCAUCUUUUCAAAUACCAUGUCUCACCAGGCAAGAAAACAAAAGAAAACAUAAACAAAUGGGACUACAUCAAACUAAAAGUCUUCUGCACAGCAAAGGAAACCAUCAACAAAAUGAAAAGACAACCUAACAAUUGGGAGAAGAUAUUUGCAAACCAUACAUCUGAUAAGGGGUUAAUAUCCAAAAUAUAUAAAGAACUCAUACAUCUCAACAACAAAAAAACUAACAACCCAAUUUAAAAAUGGGCAAAAGAUCUGAACAGACAUUUUUCCAAAGAAGAUAUACAGAUGGCCAGCAGGCACAUGAAAAGAUGUUCAACAUCACUAAUUAUCAGGGAAAUGCAAAUCAAAACUACAAUGAGAUAUCACCUCAUGCCCAUCAGAAUGGCUAUAAUUAACAAGACAAGAAACAACAAGUGUUAGAGAGGAUGUGGAGAGAAGGGAACCCUCAUACACUGCUGGUGGGAGUGCAAACUGGUACAGCCACUAUGGAAAACAGUAUGGAGAUUCCUCAAAAAAUUAAGAAAAGAACUACCAUACAAUCCAUAAAAACACAAAUGCAUAAAGAUACAUGCACCCGUGUUCAUUGCAGCGUUAUUCACAAUAGCCAAGACUUGGAAGCAACCCAA